GCCCGGUUAGCUUAGUCGGUAGAGCGUCGGACUUUUAGUCACCUUCCCUUGCCUGUUCUACAAGCCAGUCAUCGGAAUACAGCAUUAAAGUCCAAUCCGAAGGUCGCGAGUUCGAGCCUCGCAUCGGGCG
rfam:Aspergillus wentii DTO 134E9 unplaced genomic scaffold ASPWEscaffold_9, whole genome shotgun sequence.